AGGAGGAUGCCCUCCAACAAGUCGUUCACUUCUUCCAGUCCAAAUAUUUCAAGAAAGACUCUGUUAUUACCUUUACUUUUCCGGCGGACACGGCUGCCCCUGCAGAGGUACUAAUCAAAUGAAAUAUAUACUCCUAAAGUUUAUAUAGUUCCUUUCCUUAUAAUAUUAAUUGCACACUCACUAAUGACGAUAUAUUAUAUAUUGCAGAUUGGAUUUUCAAGGGAGGGGAAAGAGGAAGAAUCGAAAAUAAAAGUGGAGAAUGAGAAUGUGGUUGAGAUGUUGAAGAAGUGGUACCUGGGUGGGACUAGGGCCGUCUCUCCUACUACCAUCUCCUCCUUAGCCAACUCUCUCUCCGCUCACUUGCCCAAUUAAUUCAUCAUCAAAUUUGCCUGCCUGCCACCCACUACUUGUGCUCUUAUUUAUGG
rnacentral:lncRNA from 1 species